UAUAUAAGUGUGUCUAUAUAUAUAUAUAUAUAUAUAUAUAUAUAUAUAUACAAUCUCUCUCAAUCUCAAUAGAUCGAAAAUAACUAUAUAUAUUGGGAUCGAUUUGAUGUAAAGAAUAUCGAAUCGUUAAUAAAUAUUUUUUGAGAAAGCCAUAGAUACGAAGCAAUAGUCAAAUUCACGAACCCAUUCGAAAUUUUGCGCAUACGAUGACUACGUUUGACGUGUCAUUUCCGAAGCGAGAGGGUGGAUAGGAUACGAAGGAAAUUCUCAUGGCGGAUUUCCAAUAUCGGAGUCCGGGUGGCAGCCCUAUUGCCGGCACAUCCUAUCGGCCAUUACGAGACUCGCGGUAUUCGGUCCAUGGCUCGAUAUUACGCCUUGUACCGCGUUAGCAUAAACAAACAUCGGAUCAGAGGAAGGUAGCAACGCGUAUAUGAACCUGCUCCUGUGUCUAUCUACGUUCAGUAAACUUUACGAGAUGAGAGACAAUCUUCCAUUUUGAUAAUUAAAGAGACAAUACCCCAGACCGAUUCAGUUUCGAAUAUCUUUUUGUUCAUACGUAAAAUUUACCCUAAGUUUUAUUAAAAUGGAAAUCUUUCCAAUUAUCACAAUCUGAUCUAAGAUCAUGAUGGAUAAAAGAUAUGAAAAAAAAAAAAAAAAAAAGAAAUAUUUAUAUAUACAUUUAUAUAAAGAGAAAAUAUUUUCACGUAUAAAUUUUAUGAAAUCUCUGUCGAUGUAAUCACGAAUAGAAUUCUCGAUGGUAUCAGUUUGUUACAAAGGUCAUUGAUCGGUAGAAUGGAAAUAAUUCAAUGAAGAAUUUCGAUAGGUCACGUAGAGAUGCGAAAGGUAUUAAAAAUAUAAAGUGACGGUAUUCGUAAGUAUAUAACCACCAUGGUUACAUAUCUAUAUGUAUAUAAUGGUAGGUUUUUAUAUGUUUAAUGUGAGCUUAAAUAUAUAUAUAUAUAUAUAUAUAUAUAUAUAUAUAUAUAUAUUAUUUAUGCAUAUAUAUACAUAUAUACACAUAUAUAUUUACAUACAUACAUAUUUAUAUGCAUAUAUAUAUAUAUAUAUACCACGUACAUAUCAUAGCUAUAUACGUACUACUGGUCGAAAUUAAACCGGAUUUCACGGGGGAUUAAAUGGUAUUUGACGAGCUAUACGAGGAUGUGCGACGGGGCUCCCUCUGUUUUGAAUUUGGGCGUGAACGUGACAGUUGGUUUAUACGAUUUUCGGAUUGAUGGGCUCACCGCGCGAAAUACCAGGAAAUUACGAAAAUAAUUAUUAUCCGCGAGGUGGUAUACUGGCGUAGUGGCGUAGAGCUCGCGAGGCUGUUCCGAUCGCGGAUAUUAACCGAGCGUAGAAUUAUUGGCUCGUACAUACUCGCGAUGCUUUUUCGAGUGGUCGCGAGGGGUGCGUCAAUGAGGAACGGGACGGAGGGGGAUAGGAAUUUGUGCUCAUACGUUUCCGCGAGUAACAUUUUUUCAAAUAAUACAAAGGCACAUACCGUUCAAUGAGAUAGAUAUUUGAAUGUACGAUGUCGCGCGAUUUGACCUUUUCACUAUCGUACGGAAGUCGAUGCGUUUUCUACGAGAGAUCAAAGUCUAUCUGACGAUGUGCUUAAUGGAUCUGAUAUGCUUAAUGGAUUUGUAGAAUCCUUGAAUAAUCCGAGAAAACAAUUUCUUAUAAAUUCUCAAACGUUUCUUUUUAAAGAUAUCGAUAUAUAGAUAUCGUACGAUAAGUCGUAAUAAUGAACAUUGUAGUGAUAGUUUAUAUGAUGAAAAUAAAAUAAUAAACGAGCAUUGUUCUUACGGUCUUUAUUAUUUGACGUGAGAACGUUUAAUCGCGUUUACAUUGAAUACUGAAGCUGAUCAAGGGAUUUCAUUAAUAGCCUCGCGGUCGUAUAGACCAACUGCCAUCCGCGUGCUCAUCGACGAAGAUUCACGGAUGUAUCGAAUAGAGAGGAGCGGCAUAUUGCGUCGGUGGUGAUGGCGAUGGCGAUGGCGACGGUGGUAUCGUCGGUGAAUCGUUCCCGAAGCGAUAUCCGCGUGGCCGAUUCCGGACGAUCUCGCCGCCGCCGCCAGCGUAAGCGAUGCAUCAGCCUCGGCUGACCAAUCCCAAUAAUUUACGAUUAUCGAUCGAGCGGCCGGUGUUCAAAUUUGCUAAUUACGCAAUAAUUAUACGGCCUACAUUAGAUGGCAGAGUCUAGCGUACAGAGCAAGCGGUAGUAGUGGUGAUGGUGGUGGUGCUGAUGGUGGUGGCGCCGUUGCAAGCAUCCGGGGAAACUAUCGACCGAGCUAAUGCGGAAUCAUCAACGCUCGAAGCGGGCCAAUAGCAAGGCGACCUAGGCGUGUCAAUAGUUCAUAGCCCCUUCCCGGCCUGAGAAUAAAUUGACCCGACUGUUCUCGACCUCCAGUCUUCGAACGAACGCAUCCAAUGUGACUAUAGUUUUCCGAGCAUCGAGUUCUGUUACGAAAAAGACAGAGAGAGAUAGAGCGAGCGAGCGAGCGAGCGAGCAAGAGAGGGAGAGAGAGUAUAUAAGGGGGUAGGAGGAGUAUCAUAGGAAGCGAGAGAGCGAAAGAGUGAGACGGAGAACUGGCAGUAAGUUCAAAGUUAACGGUACUGAUCGCUACCUCCCAUCUUGCUGGACGAUUGUCUUAGUAGAUUUUAGCACGUGGAAGUACAAGCGGUAUGCCACACGACGCAUAAACUACUUUCAAAAUGUAG